GCCAACGGCCAUACCACGUUGAACACACCAGUUCUCGUCCGAUCACUAAAGAUAAGAAACGUCGGGCCCGGUUAGUACUUGGAUGGGUGACCGCCUGGGAACCCCGGGUGCUGGUAUAC
rnacentral:rRNA from 1 species